UCCCUGGUGGUCCAGUGGUUAGGACUCUGUGCUUCCAUUUUAGGGGACACAGGUUCGAUCCUUGGUCAGGGAA
rnacentral:tRNA from 1 species